ensembl:lncRNA
GGUGAAAGCAAUUCACCUGUGCAAUGGGAAGGGGUGGAACCAGGUUGCACCCCUCCCUGAGCCUCAUUUAAGGGCUUGCUGGCAUACUGGAAGGUUCUCUACCUGGAGAUUCUGCCUUCUGGAGAAUUUGGUGGGCCCUGCUCUUUGGGAUGGGAGACAACAAUUGCUGUUUCCAUCUUGCCUAAAGGUUUCUGGUCUGGAAGUGGAGUACUGUCUGUGUUGAAGACUGACUCAAGUCCUGCUGCCAAUGAGAAUGACUGGAAGUGCAGUCACCCAUACUUCAAAUGCUUGGCUGAAGUUUUGAUAGAUUCUGGAUGUAUUUAUUCUUUGAAUAAGAACUUCUGUGGUAUUGUUACCUUUGUGUUAAUUUCUCCUGUGCUCUAGGCAUGAAACUCUUCCUUUUUUUUUCCCAAAUGUAGAAUUUGUCAACUGCAAUAAAGGGAGAUGCUUUUAUAUAUGAUAGAUGUCAUGACUUUUUUCCAUGUGACAGCAGUACUCCAAAUCUAAAAGCAUAUCUCCCAUGAGCCAAAUGAGGUCUCUGUGUUUAUCAGUAAUAAACGGUAUGCUUAUAGCAUGGUCUAAUAUAGAAGUAUAAAGUUGUUUUGUGUUCUGGAAUCAGAUGGGUUUUGACAGGAUUAAGCUGUAAGCUUACACACGAGAGCGCGCUAACUGCUGUUAUCUUGUGCAGCUAUGAUUGCAAGAAUCUGAAUUUAUGCAUUUCAAGCAAGUUUGAUGUCUGCAGCUGCACUUCAUUAAGCAGUGCAUGUUUAGGCCACCAAGGGUAUCCCUUGUCUCUAAGUAAAAAGCUGGAAUUCUGUUCAUUUUAAUAACAGGUACGGCACAAGUGUCAAUUAUGCUAUUCUGAGGUAGAGAAGUCACAGUUUUGGGAAGAGAAAUUGCAUUUCAUUGCUUGCUUUGAGUGAAUGAAUAAGCAACAUCUUGUUCUAUGGGCUCAGUGUCAUGGGACGAAAGGAAUUAAACUAGUGGCUGAUCUAAAAAUGCACCUAGGACAAUUUGGAUUCGAAAGAUACUGUUCUGAGGCAG